rnacentral:rRNA from 1 species
AACCUGCCCUUAACUCUGGGAUAAGCCUGGGAAACUGGGUCUAAUACCGGAUAGGAGCGCCUACCGCAUGGUGGGUGUUGGAAAGAUUUAUCGGUUUUGGAUGGACUCGCGGCCUAUCAGCUUGUUGGUGAGGUAAUGGCUCACCAAGGCGACGACGGGUAGCCGGCCUGAGAGGGUGACCGGCCACACUGGGACUGAGACACGGCCCAGACUCCUACGGGAGGCAGCAGUGGGGAAUAUUGCACAAUGGGCGCAAGCCUGAUGCAGCGACGCCGCGUGAGGGAUGACGGCCUUCGGGUUGUAAACCUCUUUCAGUAGGGAAGAAGCGAAAGUGACGGUACCUGCAGAAGAAGCACCGGCUAACUACGUGCCAGCAGCCGCGGUAAUACGUAGGGUGCGAGCGUUAUCCGGAAUUAUUGGGCGUAAAGAGCUCGUAGGCGGUUUGUCGCGUCUGUCGUGAAAGUCCGGGGCUUAACCCCGGAUCUGCGGUGGGUACGGGCAGACUAGAGUGCAGUAGGGGAGACUGGAAUUCCUGGUGUAGCGGUGGAAUGCGCAGAUAUCAGGAGGAACACCGAUGGCGAAGGCAGGUCUCUGGGCUGUAACUGACGCUGAGGAGCGAAAGCAUGGGGAGCGAACAGGAUUAGAUACCCUGGUAGUCCAUGCCGUAAACGUUGGGCACUAGGUGUGGGGACCAUUCCACGGUUUCCGCGCCGCAGCUAACGCAUUAAGUGCCCCGCCUGGGGGAGUACGGCCGCAAGGCUAAAACUCAAAGGAAUUGACGGGGGGCCCGCACAAGCGG